UUCCAUUAUAUGGAUGGAUAUACCACAUUUUGUCUAUCCAUUCAUCGGUGUGGGAGAUAAAGUUUUCUUGAUACCAAGCUGUCAAUCCUUGUUCUAAGUGCUUAAUCCUCACAACAACACUAUGAGAGAAAUUCCACUUAACUGGAAAGUCUGAGGAAGCUGUGACCAUCACCUGGGACAAGAAUUCUAUGCCUUCAGCCUAUUGAGUGCUGGUUGCUUUUGAGAGGCUGCCUGGAGAACUGUGCUCAGAACGAUUUUGAGAGUUUGAGGGAGAACUGGGAUCGAUUAGCAAUGUCUGCCAGGACCAAGGGAAGGAAGAUGUCAUUUCCUUGCCAUAUAUUUGCCACUCCU